AAGAUGGCGACCGGCGCACGGGUGAGUAGCACGUAUCCAACCUGCCGAUAACUCCGGAAUAGCCUUUCGAAAGAAAGAUUAAUACCGGAUGGCAUACGAAUAUCGCAUGAUAUUUUUAUUUAAAGAAUUUCGGUUAUCGAUGGGGAUGCGUUCCAUUAGUUUGUUGGCGGGGUAACGGCCCACCAAGACUACGAUGGAUAGGGGUUCUGAGAGGAAGGUCCCCCACAUUGGAACUGAGACACGGUCCAA
rnacentral:rRNA from 1 species